AUACGAGGGGUGCAAGCGUUAAUCGGAAUUACUGGGCGUAAAGCGUUCGUAGGCGGUUUGUUAAGCAAGAUGUGAAAGCCCUGGGCUCAACCUGGGAACUGCAUUUUGAACUGGCAAGCUAGAAUACUGUAGAGGGUGGUGGAAUUUCCAGUGUAGCGGUGAAAUGCGUAGAGAUUGGAAGGAACAUCAGUGGCGAAGGCGGCCACCUGGACAGAUAUUGACGCUGAGGAACGAAAGCGUGGGGAGCGAACAGGAUUAGAUACCCGAGUAGUCC
rnacentral:rRNA from 1 species